GACGAACGCUGGCGGCGUGCUUAACACAUGCAAGUCGAACGGAAAGGCCCCUUUGUGGUUACUCGCUUGGCUAACGGGUGAGUAACACGUGAGUAACCUGCCCUUGCCUUCGUUUUAACUUCCUUCAACUAGGUCUAAUACCUGCUAGGUAUCCUUGCUGCCUGCUUGGGGUUGGAAAGCUUCGGCGGGUUUGGAUGGACUCGCGGCUUAUCAGCUUGUUGGUGGGGUAGUGGGUUACCAAGGCUUUGACGGGUAGCCGGCCUGCGAGGGGGACCGGCCACAUUGGGGAUGAGAUACGGCCCAGAAUCCUACGGGAGGCAGCAGUGGGGAAUAAUGCACAAUGGGCGGGAGGCUGAUGGAGCAAAGGCGCGGGCGGGAUGACGGCCUUCGGGGUGUAAACCGCUUUCAGCAGGGGAGAAGCUUGUGGUGACGGUACCGGCAGAAGAAGCACCGGCUAACUACGUG
rnacentral:rRNA from 1 species